AUUGAACGCUAGCGGGAUGCUUUACACAUGCAAGUCGAACGAGUGGCGGACGGGUGAGAAAUAUAUCGGAACGUGCCCAGUAGCGGGGGAUAACUACUCGAAAGAGUGGAUAAUCCCGCAUACUAUUGGAGCGGCCGAUAUCGGAUUAGCUAGUUGGUGGGUUAAAGGCUCACCAAGGCAACGAUCUGUAGCGGGUUUGAGAGGACGAGCAGCCACACUGGGACUGAGACACGGCCCAGACUCCUACGGUAGGCAGCAGUGGGGAAUUUUGGACAAUGGGGGAAACCCUGAUCCAGCCAUCCCGCGUGUAUGAGAAGGCCUUCGGGUUGUAAAGGACUUUUGGCAGAGAGGCGGUAUCUACAGAAUAAGCACCGGCUAACUACGUGCCAGCAGCCGCGGUAAUUC
rnacentral:rRNA from 1 species